GGAAGAUGUCGAAACAUGAUGGAGUACUUCUUUUUCGACAAGUCCAUGUUUUACUCCAGUUAUGAGGACACAUUUGUGACAAAGGUGCGAUGGGUCAGCCAGAGGUCACCCCUCCAAAAGUUUUGGACUUGCUGCUAAACAUCAAUGAUGCCUUCUCCUCAGCAGAGCUCUCAAAGCUGAACUGAAAUCCACGGAGCUAUAAAGUGGAUGUCUGUGCACCGUCCAUCGAGCUAUAAAGUGGAUGUCUGUGCACUGCACGUCAUCAAAAUGCUUAUCCCACUGAGAAGGUGUGGUAUCUUGAGGAGUCCUCAGUCACAAAGUAUUUUCCUGAGACCUGCAAUUGCCUAUCACAGACCAUUCUUGUUCUACUUUGUGAUUGCAUCAUAACUGACACACAAUGGAAUGGCAAUCAUCUUUGGAUAUGCUGCUUGCUUUAUUGAGUGACAUGCCCCUUUCCUUUCACUAAUUUAGAAGUGUAAAGAGUUACAACAGCAAGGUGCGUUGUGUUACUUUUUUUACACUAACAAUAAAAAAAAGUAAUGCAUGUUAAUAACUGCAUGUCAAGUACAUCCCCAGUGCAUGAAUAACAUUGACAUAAAUCGUCAGCUCAGUGCUAUGAGGUCGGUAAUCGUAAUUCCAAGUUUGUAUUGAACAGAAUGUCAUGCGUUUACUUUAAAAUCAAAAAUCAAAAUUAAGAAAUCAAUGUUUUACCUAGAAAAUCUUGAAGACCACUGUUGAUCUAAUAAAUAUUUACCAGGAGCUCCAAAAUAUGCCAAAGCAAUUUUAUCAAACCCAUAUAAAUUGCACUAAUGACCUAAUAUAGUUCUGAGCAGACGAAUUAUGUACUUUUCAUAAGUAAUUAUAUUAAGUAAUAAAGUAGUUAUGCAUUUGUGAAGUGAUCAAGCUAAAUGAGUCAUUUGUCCAAAUAUCAGUAUCGAGAAACAAGCUAGAACAGACCAACAAGGGUGAAAUUUCAAAUGGUUUUUUUUGUGUAAAUUGCAAUGAAAUAUAUUUUAUUUUAUAUUGGCAACUUUAGAUCAAAAGUGUGUUAAAAUUAGCAUUGAAAGAAAAUGUGCGGAGGUAUUUUCAAUAAACCCUAUUUUCUCAGUUUCAUUCUUUGUAGUCAAAUGUGGUAUCAACAUGGGGCUUAAAAACAAAGCAAAGGUUAUUCUAUAUUCAAAUGUGUUGUAUAAACAACACUUAAUUGGUUUGACAAACAUUUCAUUUUGCUUGAUCACAUCACAUGUUAAAACUAAUGUAUACUAAGCAAUAGAUUAGUUUAUGUUGCCGA